rnacentral:rRNA from 1 species
UAGAUACCCUGGUAGUCCACGCCCUAAACGAUGCACACUAGUUGUUGCUAUGCUCGACAUAGCAGUAAUGCAGUUAACACAGUAAGUGUGCCGCCUGGGGAGUACGGUCGCAAGAUUAAAACUCAAAGGAAUAGACGGGGACCCGCACAAGCGGUGGAGCAUGUGGUUUAAUUUGACGAUACGCGAAGAACCUUACCUGGCCUUGACAUAGAUAGAACUUUCCAGAGACGGAUUGGUGCUAGUUUACUAGAGCUAUCAUACAGGUGCUGCACGGCUGUCGUCAGCUCGUGUCGUGAGAUGUUGGGUUAAGUCCCGCAACGAGCGCAACCCUCGUGUUUAGUUACUAACAGUUCGGCUGAGGACUCUAAACAGACUGCCUGGGUAACCAGGAGGAAGGUGAGGACGACGUCAAGUCAUCAUGGCCCUUACGGCCAGGGCUACACACGUGCUACAAUGGGGUAUACAAAGAGCAGCAAUACGGUGACGUGGAGCAAAUCUCAUAAAAUAUCUCCCAGUUCGGAUUGAAGUCUGCAACUCGACUUCAUGAAGUUGGAAUCGCUAGUAAUCGUAGAUCAGCAAUGCUACGGUGAAUACGUUCCCGGGUCUUGUACUCACCGCCCGUCACACCAUGGGAAUUGAAUUCAUUCGAAGCGGGGAUGCUAAAAUAGCUACCUUCCACAGUGGAUUUAGUAACUAGGGUGAAGUCGUAACAAGGUA